UACGUAGGGUGCAAGCGUUGUCCGGAAUUAUUGGGCGUAAAGAGCUCGUAGGCGGUCUGUCGCGUCGGAUGUGAAAUCCAGGGCUCAACCCUGGACCUGCAUUCGAUACGGGCAGACUAGAGUUCGGUAGGGGAGACGUGGAAUUCCUGGUGUAGCGGUGAAAUGCGCAGAUAUCGAGAGGAACACCUGCGGCGAAGGCGGGUUGCUGGGCUGACACGUGACGCUGAUGCGCGAAAGCCAGGGGAGCGAACGGG
rnacentral:rRNA from 1 species